rnacentral:rRNA from 1 species
GAUGAACGCUGGCGGCGUGCUUAACACAUGCAAGUCGAACGAAGCACUUUAUUAUGAUUUCUUCGGAAUGACGAUUUAGUGACUGAGUGGCGGACGGGUGAGUAACGCGUGGGUAACCUGCCUUAUACAGGGGGAUAACAGUUAGAAAUGACUGCUAAUACCGCGUAAGACCACAGCCUCACAUGGGGCAGGGGUUAAAGGAGGAAUCCGGAUAAAGAUGGGCUCGCGUCCGAUUAGCUAGUUGGUGAGAUAACAGCCCACCAAGGCGACGAUCGGUAGCCGACCUGAGAGGGUGAUCGGCCACAUUGGAACUGAGAGACGGUCCAGACUCCUACGGGAGGCAGCAGUGGGGAAUAUUGGGCAAUGGGCGAAAGCCUGACCCAGCAACGCCGCGUGAGGGAAGAAGGGUUUCGGCUCGUAAACCUCUGUCCUAUGGGACGAAGGAAGUGACGGUACCAUAGGAGGAAGCCCCGGCUAACUACGUG